CAUUGUUCUCUACAAUCCCCUAAUUGUCGUUAUCACUCAAUCAACCUUUUCCACCAUGAAGUUCGCCGCCCUCGCCACCGCCGCCACCCUCUCCACCGCUGCCGCCUUCGCCCCGGCCGCCACC
rnacentral:ribozyme from 1 species